rnacentral:antisense_RNA from 3 species
GGGUGCUUGAGUCUGUUCGUCUUGAGCAUGGUGUGGCAGGGCGGAUAAAUGAAAGCCCCAGACUGACUCUAAAUCAGAAUGGGGCUGCUCAUACCGCCUAGACACCGGUAUGGUAGCCCCUUCACCGCAAGGAGGCAAGCAGUGCAUAAAAAAUAUG